rnacentral:rRNA from 1 species
UACAGAGGUGGCAAGCGUUGUUCGGAAUUACUGGGCGUAAAGCGUGCGUAGGCGGUUUCUUAAGUCUGCUGUGAAAGCCCCGGGUUCAACCUGGGAAUGGCGGUGGAUACUGAGAAGCUGGAGUACGGUAGAGGAAGGUGGAAUUCCCGGUGUAGCGGUGAAAUGCGUAGAGAUCGGGAGGAACAUCAGUGGCGAAGGCGGCCUUCUGGACCAGUACUGACGCUGAGGCACGAAAGCGUGGGGAGCGAACAGGG